rnacentral:rRNA from 1 species
GAUGAACGCUGGCGGCGUGCCUAAUACAUGCAAGUCGAGCGAAUGGAUUGAGAGCUUGCUCUUAUGAAGUUAGCGGCGGACGGGUGAGUAACACGUGGGUAACCUGCCCAUAAGACUGGGAUAACUCCGGGAAACCGGGGCUAAUACCGGAUAACAUUUUGAACCGCAUGGUUCGAAAUUGAAGGGCGGCUUCGGCUGUCACUUAUGGAUGGACCCGCGUCGCAUUAGCUAGUUGGUGAGGUAACGGCUCACCAAGGCAACGAUGCGUAGCCGACCUGAGAGGGUGAUCGGCCGCACUGGGACUGAGACACGGCCCAGACUCCUACGGGAGGCAGCAGUAGGGAAUCUUCCGCAAUGGACGAAAGUCUGACGGAGCAACGCCACGUGAGUGAUGAAGGCUUUCGGGUCGUAAAACUCUGUUGUUAGGGAAGAACAAGUGCUAGUUGAAUAAGCUGGCACCUUGACGGUACCUAACCAGAAAGCCACGGCUAACUACGUGCCAGCCGCCGCAGUAA